rnacentral:rRNA from 1 species
UACGUAGGCAGCAAGCGUUGUUCGGAAUUACUGGGCGUAAAGAGUGUGUAGGUGGUGUCGUAAGUUUGGUGUGAAAUCUCCCGGCUUAACUGGGAGGGUGCGCCGAAGACUGCGAUGCUGGAGUAUGGGAGAGGAAAGCGGAAUUCCUGGUGUAGCGGUGAAAUGCGCAGAUAUCAGGAGGAACACCGGUGGCGAAGGCGGGUCUCUGGGCCGAUACUGACGCUGAGGAGCGAAAGCGUGGGGAGCGAACAGG